AACGAACGCUGGCGGCAUGCCUAACACAUGCAAGUCGAACGAGACCUUCGGGUCUAGUGGCGCACGGGUGCGUAACGCGUGGGAAUCUGCCCUUGGGUUCGGAAUAACAGUUGGAAACGACUGCUAAUACCGGAUGAUGUCUUCGGACCAAAGAUUUAUCGCCCAGGGAUGAGCCCGCGUAGGAUUAGCUUGUUGGUGAGGUAAAGGCUCACCAAGGCGACGAUCCUUAGCGGUCUGAGAGGAUGAUCAGCCACACUGGGACUGAGACACGGCCCAGACUCCUACGGGAGGCAGCAGUGGGGAAUAUUGGACAAUGGGCGAAAGCCUGAUCCAGCAAUGCCGCGUGAGUGAUGAAGGCCUUAGGGUUGUAAAGCUCUUUUACCCGGGAUGAUAAUGACAGUACCGGGAGAAUAAGCUCCGGCUAACUCCGUGCCAGCAGCCGCCGUAAC
rnacentral:rRNA from 1 species